GUAGAUGCCUCUGCAAAUACCCGGGGGGUGGAAUGGACAAAACAGAUAACUAUAUCUUUUAAAUGGUCUUUAUCUACUACAAAUGGAAACAAAAGAAGCCCACAGAAAACACAGAGAAUCGGUGAAAGAACUGAAUUUCCUUGAGUGGCUCAGCUGCCCAUGGGGAAGAAGGAGAAUAGAAACACAAAGCUUCUCUGGGGCUGAAGUUUGCAUGCCCAGGUUACACUUCACUGCCUGUGAAAAUUCAGAGUGCCAUUUGGGAGCCCAGCCUUAUUGAAGCUAUUGGAAGUUUUGCCACUGACUCAUCGGAGCCAGGAAUUUGCCCACAGUUUACAGAAUCAUAUCAGAAGACCUUUUGUUUCUUUGUUUGUUUGUUUUCUCUGUCUUAUAAACCAAACCUGCCUGGUCCUUAUAGUAAGCCACAAGACCAGUAUGACCCUGCAUGUUUAAAACCACAACUCAUUACUACAAAGUUUGCCUUUACAAACAGAGAGAUGUGCAAAAAGCAUCUUCAAGCCAAUUCUAACUGGUAGAUUGACCCACCAAUGAUUGUAUUUGCUGGAUUCUCUGAAAAUGAAGUCUAUUAAAUGCGCAAGUAAUA